rnacentral:lncRNA from 1 species
UUAGAAGGUCAUCUACCCUUUCUCUUUUACGUUCUGCAUCAAUUACAAUAGGUAUAUUCCUCCGAUGUGCCUGCACUGGGAAUCCAAAAGGCAUACAGUAUUUUCCAUUUGAUUGAAAACAUAAAUCUUCGGAUAAUUUGAACAAAAAACAACAAACAAUAAUUAAGCUCAAUAUGUCGGCUCUAGGAUGAGUACAAGC